GGGAUUGUAGCUCAGCUGGGAUGAGCGUUCGCCUCACACGCGAGAGGUCACGGGUUCGAGCCCCGUCAAUCCCA
rnacentral:tRNA from 1 species